AUUGAACGCUGGCGGCAGGCUUAACACAUGCAAGUCGAGCGGAGAUGAGGUGCUUGCACCUUAUCUUAGCGGCGGACGGGUGAGUAAUGCUUAGGAAUCUGCCUAUUAGUGGGGGACAACAUUCCGAAAGGAAUGCUAAUACCGCAUACGUCCUACGGGAGAAAGCAGGGGAUCUUCGGACCUUGCGCUAAUAGAUGAGCCUAAGUCGGAUUAGCUAGUUGGUGGGGUAAAGGCCUACCAAGGCGACGAUCUGUAGCGGGUCUGAGAGGAUGACUCGCCACACUGGGACUGAGACACGGACCAGACUCCUACGGGAGGCAGCAGUGGGGAAUAUUGGACAAUGGGCGGAACACUGAUCCAGCCAUGCCGCGUGUGUGAAGAAGGCCUUAUGGUUGUAAAGCACUUUAAGCGAGGAGGAGGCUACUGAGACUAAUACUCUUGGAUAGUGGACGUUACUCGCAGAAUAAGCACCGGCUAACUCUGUGCCAGCCGCCGCGGUAACAC
rnacentral:rRNA from 1 species